rnacentral:rRNA from 1 species
AUGGAUUUUCGAAAGCAUCAACCUUCUGCUAAUGCAACCUCUAUUAGUAUGGUCCACCUGGAUUUUCCUAGCCAAAUGCUUGAGGAUAUUGAUUCUGUGAAUCAAGUGAUGUCAGCAGAUUUUCCAUCGGAGGCUCCUAUUGAUAUUGAUAUGAGGGAACUUUACUUUCUCAUUAUGCAUUUUUUAUCACAUGGUCCAUUUAAGCGGGCUGCUGGAGAGCUCUGCAAUGAUCUUCUGGAGCAUCAGUUGUUACCUAGAAGAUAUCAUGCUUGGUAUUCACGUGGUGGUUUUCAUAGCGGCGAAGAAAAUGAUGAUGGUAUAUCGCUCCCUUUGGGUUACCUAAAGCUAGUUGAGAGAUACCCCCACAUUGGUAAAGACCACUUGGUGAAGCUGUUAAAGCAACUGAUGAUGACUUCCUGCCGCCCAGACAGCUUGGUUAGAGAUGUAUCUCCAAAUGCUGCUGAUGUUCCAACGCUUCUUGGCUCCAACUCCUUUUCCCUUCUUGCACCUGAUAGGUGCAAGCAAGAUAAGGAAACUCUCAGGCUGCCGAGGUAUCUCCGGUGGCCACACAUACAUGCUGAUCAAGUUCAUGGUUUAAGUUUGAGAGAGAUUGGUGGUUUCACUAAGAAUCAUCGAGCUCCUUCUGUACGUGCAUCAUGCUAUGCCAUUGCAAAGCCAUCAACCCUUGUUGAAAAGAUGCAGAUUAUAAAGAAAUUGAGGGGACAUCAGAAUGCUGCGUAUUGUGCUACUUUUGACCGCACAGGACGUUAUGUAAUUACUGGUUCUGAUGACCGCCUUGUCAAAAUUUGGGCGAUGGAAACAGCAUUUUGUCUGGCUAGUUGCCGAGGCCAUGAAGGUGAUAUUACUGAUCUCGCUGUGAGUUCCAAUAAUGCUGUGGUAGCAUCUUCCUCCAAUGAUUUCAUUAUUAGAGUGUGGCGCAUACCCGACGGCAUGCCAAUGUCAGUGUUGAAGGGCCAUACUGGGGUUGUAACAACUAUUGCAUUUAGUCCAAGGCCAGGUGCUGCUUUCCAGCUGUUGUCAUCAUCUGAUGAUGGGACAUGCAGGAUUUGGGAUGCUAGGCAUUCUCAACAAUCUCCACGAAUAUAUAUACCAAAACCUUCAGAUGUUGCCGCUGGGAAGAGUGGUGAUGCAUCUUCCAGUGCUGUUCAAGUUCAACCAAUAAAUCACCAAAUCUUAUGUUGUUCAUUCAAUGCUAAUGGAACCGUGUUUGUUACUGGCAGUUCAGACACUUAUGCGAGGGUGUGGAGUGCUUACAAGAGUUGUUCUGAGGAACAUGACCAACCGAAUCAUGAGAUGGAUAUAUUAUCAGGUCAUGAAAAUGAUGUAUACUACGUGCAGUUUAGUGGAUGUGUUGUAUCAAGAUUCUUUUCAUCUGACAGCAGUCACACCAGUAAGGAAGAAAAUAACCUUAAGCUAAGAAAUUCAUGGUUCACACAUAAUAUUGUUACCUGCUCCCGUGAUGGCAGCGCAAUUAUAUGGGUUCCACGGUCUCGGAGAUCACAUGGAAAGAUUGGACGCUGGACACGCGCUUACCAUCUCAAGGUUCCUCCACCUCCAAUGGCUCCUCAACCACUUCGCGGUGGUCCACGUCAAAGAUACAAUCCAACUCCUCGUGGUGUGAAUAUGAUUGUUUGGAGUUUGGACAAUCGCUUUGUGCUUGCUGCUAUCAUGGAUUGCAGAAUUUGUGUUUGGAAUGCUUCUGAUGGGAGCUUGGUGCAUUCACUGAUUGGCCAUCAGGAAUCAACAUUUGUUCUUGAUGUGCAUCCGUUCAACCCCCGUAUAGCUAUGAGUGCUGGGUAUGAUGGAAAGACAAUCAUCUGGGAUAUAUGGGAAGGAAAGCCUGUACAGAUCUACGAAACUGACCACUAUAAGCUUGUUGACGGCAAGUUCUCUCCGUAAGUGUCACUAUAAUUUCUUCAUAUUCGCGACAACAUGAAUUUUUGUUUUGGCCCUUAAGCAAAUGUACAGUUUAUUUGUAUUUCUUUUGUAACAACGCGCCUGCAUUGAGAUGAUACUCCAUAAAAUGUUUAGAACAAUGAAGAAAAAUAGCAGGAAAAACCCUGGGACUACUUAUAAAUUUUAUGGAUGUUCCAUUAAUCUUAAGAAGGUAGGGAUAUUCCAUAGUAAAACUGAGAAUGUAUCGUGGUGUGCUUUUUUUUUUUUAAGUUCUGUUCAGAAGUGAUCCCUCCCUUUUCUGCUAUAUUUCUUGACUUUUUCUGUUUUUGUUUCACGGAUGACUUAAUGGUGAAAUCUGGUUGACCAGGGAGAAAAGUGCACUUAUCUGUCGAUGGCAGCUAGGUUUCCAUCUCUCUCUCUAGACUUGGUUGCCCAGAAUUUCUGGGUACUCGCCUUGUUCAUAAAGGUGAGGCGAGCUUCCAUGAUGUGCUCCCUGGAACGCUUGACUGUUUAGGCUACAGCAUGGCAACUAUGCUGGUCGAAAGUAGAUGAUCCUUAGUGUUCCAGUUUUCUGUUAUAGUGCAGCCAAAAUAAUAUGAAUUCAACUGACGGCGUUACUUAUUUCUCUGUAGUGUUGGGAUGUAUUAUGCCAAAAUGAAGUUUUGCCAUUUGACCAGUUACCAUAGAUUGCAGAUGAAUCUGAGUUUAUUUGUCUGUCGUGAUGUCUUGAUGUGUUGCUGAAUGGACAUUUAGGGAUGGAACAUCACUUGUCCUCACCAAUGAAAUUGGGCAAAUAUUCAUUAUUGGUACAGGGCAGGGCGAGUCCCAAAAGGAUGCGAAAUAUGAUCAGUUCUUUCUUGGAGACUACCGGCCCCUUGUUCAUGAUACAAAUGGAAGUGCUAUUGAUCAGGAAACACAACUUGCACCUUAUAGGAGAAAUAUUCAAGACCUUUUGUGCGACUCGGGUAUGAUACCUUACCCAGAGCCUUUUCAGAGCAUGUACCAGAAAUACCGGUUAGGUAUCCUGGGUAUUGAAUGGCGACCUCCCUCAGUAAAUUUUGCUGUUGGGCCCACUUACGAUGCAACCACUGGCGAGUACCAAAUCAUCCCAGUUACUGAUCCAGAUAGGUGGGAACCACUUCCAGAGAUAACAGACUUCAUCGAGCUUGAACCAGAAAAUGAAGCGAUCUCUGAUGAUACUGAUUCCGAGUACAAUGGCAUGGAUGACUAUUCUAGUGAAGGAGAACAGGGGAUUUGGGGUGGUCAUGCUUCUGGUGCUUCAUACUCAAGUGCAGAGAUUGAUGGAUCUAAUCUUAACAGUACUGCUAAUCUCCGCAGAUCUAGAAGAAAGAAGAAAAGAUGUGAUGCUGAUCUUGUUACUUCAUCUGAUCGGCGAGUUAAGAAAAGAAAUUUGGAUGGGCACGGUGUGGCUACACCGUCAAGGCCACAUAGAGGCAGGAAGUCUAAGACUGGCCGUGCUACCAAAAGGAAAAUAUCUCCUAAAUCUAGGAGAUUGUGACCUCAAAGACGUGCUACUCACAGCACACACAGUUUUUUCUUGAAGAUUGAAACUUCAACAGAAGAGGAAGAUGGAUCAGCGAGCAGUCUUUCAGACAACGAACUCAACACAGAAAGCACUGAAGCUGAGCAGUCAGCGUGGCAUGGCCUGCCAAGAUUUGGUAGAGAAACCAACCAAUAUGAUUCCGAAGAUGUUACCCGACCUUCUCAGUUCACUGAAACCAAGGGAAAACAUUCUGCAAAUAGUAGAAAACUGAUUCUGAGGAUACCACGCCGUGAUCUAAAAGUUCAGUUUCCUUCAGAAAGUGUAAAUCCAGAACUCCCACCUCAUUAUGCAGUGCUGUCACUUCCAGCAGCCAGAUACAAAGACGCUGAGCCGGAACUAGCUUUUGAGCCUGGAAACUCCUCUGCUUGCAAGUCUGAAUCACCUCUGGUCUCCGGUCUACAUGAUGCGGGUACUGUUCACAGUAAUGGCGCAAUCAAAGGGUGUGAGCUUAAGCUGCGACCUUCAAAGCAUUGCGAGUUCGGGGACUCUUCUUCAGGAGACACGUGGGUCUCUUCAAAUAAUGCACUUUCGCAUGAUGUUUAUGGGUCUGGUAGUCAGAAAACACCUAAUCAAUAUGAUAACGGCGUCCAACAAACGGUUGAGCAGAAUGUACAGAAAAGACAACGUGCAAUUUAUCUGGAUAGCAUCCAUGAAAACCACAAUACUGAUGAUUAUAGUGAAGGUAAUUUGCCUGGUAAAGAAUGGAUAACUGACAACAGGAAUACUCAUCUAGAGGAAGAAAAUAACAGGGAACACGAUCAGCAGUUCCACAGCACUCGGUCUAUAUCCUUUAAACUGAAGUUGUCCAGACCAAGAGGCUUUGCAGAUGGAGCAAGUUCAUCAGACAUAUCGAAGACUAGUGCAGUAGGGAGUGACAUCAACCAUGUUAAAGUUCCAAUGCAGCAUGAUGAGGUUUCUGCCACCAGUCAACAUAGGAGCAGUGACUUCCCUAGUGUGUCCAGACGUUUCCAGGACUUUGAAUCUGCGAAGACAUACGGCACCGUGUACAAAAGGUCACGGUCUAUAUCCUUUAAACUGAUCGUGUAACAGGGAACACGAUCAGCAGUUCCACAGCACUCGGUCUAUAUCCUUUAAACUGAAGUUGUCCAGACCAAGAGGCUUUGCAGAUGGAGCAAGUUCAUCAGACAUAUCGAAGACUAGUGCAGUAGGGAGUGACAUCAACCAUGUUAAAGUUCCAAUGCAGCAUGAUGAGGUUUCUGCCACCAGUCAACAUAGGAGCAGUGACUUCCCUAGUGUGUCCAGACGUUUCCAGGACUUUGAAUCUGCGAAGACAUACGGCACCGUGUACAAAAGGUCAGAGCCAAGUAAGCACAGGAAAAGAUUGGGUUCGGAUGCGUUUGGAAAUGGACAUAAUACUUCUGUUUCCAAUGAUGAUGGUGGACAUCAACCUCCAGACUGCAGUCCUGUUGCACCUACUGGUAGUUUACGAAGAAACGAAAGGAGGUCAUGUGCAUACACUGAUUAUGGUAGAGGAAGGGAUGCAAUCUCUCAUGUGCAAAGUUCUUCCCUCGAAGCAGCAACUAGUGGGAGACAAAUUGUUGCAAAUGUGCGUGAAGUAAUGUGGGGAUCAACAUCAAAGACUGCUGGUAUAAAGUCUUCUAUGAACAAAAGAGAGAGUUGCAACUUUCCUGAUACACAUCUAUUGGAGAAAAAGCACCAAGUAUCGAGGCCAUGGUUGAUGUUGCUAGAGCAUGAAGAUAUCUACCGUUAUAUUCCUCAACUUGGCGAUGAGGUUAUGUACUUGCGACAGGGUCAUGAAGAAUAUGUUUAUGAAGUGCAAUCAUCGGAUAAUUGCCCAUCAAAUCGGAUCAAAGGCCUUAAAGCUGCUGAGCUUUGCGAAAUUAAGGGUCUUGAUUACAAGCCAGAUAGAGGGUCUGGUGAAAGCUGCUGUGAAUUAACUAUUAAAUUCAUUGAUCACACUUCAAGUGGAUUUGGCAAAGAGUUUGUAAUCACAUUGCGUGAGCUAGUUACGUUCCCUGAUUUUCUUGUGGAAAGAACACGGUUUGAAGCUACUACCACGUAUAACUGGAGCAUCGCUGAUAGGUGCAAAGUUUGGUGGAUGGAUGAGGGAGAGGAUGGAGGAAGUUGGUGGGAGGGACGAGUAUUGGAAAUAAGACCUAAGUCACCUGAUUUUCCUGAGAGCCCUUGGGAGAAAUAUGUCAUACAGUAUGAAACUGAUGGUUCUGAACAUCCGCAUAGCCCCUGGGAGGUGCAUGAUGCUAAUAACCCAUUGGUUCCAUGGAAGCGUCCACAUAUUGAUCCCAGUACCAGGAACAAAUUGUUAUCAGCAGUGACCGGUUUACAGGAAAAGUCUCUCAGAAAUCAGGAUCGCUAUGGUGUUCUGAAGUUAGAUACUGUUGCAGGAAAAUCAGAUUUCAUAAACAGGUUCCCUGUCCAAUUCUCCAUUGAGGUGAUCAGAGCAAGACUACAGAGCGAUUACUACAGAACUCUGGAGGCUGUCAAACAUGAUGCCACUGUGAUGCUUGCCAAUGCCAAGUCUUAUUUUUCAAAGAGCGGCGAAAUGACCAAAAAGAUCCGCAAGCUAUCUGAGUGGAUCCAAGAUAAGAUUCUAUCACUAUAGGGGGAGGUGCUCUGUGCGCAGCAGGCAUUCUUCCCUUUUAGCAGAAUUUGCCACUCAUCCCGUGAGAUGAUCCUCUGUUUGCGUCGCAGAAGCAUGUUUUUGUUAAGAGGAAUGAGCCAAAAUAGUUGGCAGGUUGGGAGGGAUUUCUUGUGUAGCCCAACAUUUUGAAACUAUCUGAUCUGAUAUCCCUGGUUUACUGAUGCAAAUUGAAAUCCUGACCAUUUGACCCUUGUUUGCCGUGAAGAAAGAACUUGAGAGCCUUGUUAGAGAAAGAAAAUGCUAACGUGUAGAAUAUGGUAAAGGAAAUGCCCUACCAGAUCACUGGAUUUGUAUAGCAGACCGAGUAAAUCAUCGAUAACGAGAAGGCAAAAUCCCUGGACUCGAGUCCUACUCUUGAGUUCUCUAUAAUAAACUAAACAUCAGACUGAAAGCAACAUGUUUGGCGGAUGCUAGGCGUAAGCCGGCUGAUAAGAGCCAAACUUAAGCCGCCUCGUUAGCCACUCGAUCGGGCCAUCAGGAAGCGACAUCAGCCGUGGGAUCCAUCGAGUCAGCCCACUCAGCUUUUCCCUUCGCGUUUCUUUUGGCGGCUGCAAACAGCGUACACUUCGCGUCGGAGAGAAAAAGCAGCAGCCCCAGUUCGCAGCGCCAUGGCACCCCCUGUCAGCUCGAGCGCCCGACGGCGAUGCUGCAAAACAGCAGGUGCCGCAAACGGAGUUGUUUCGUUGAAGUAGCUGGUCAGUUGCAAACCGACGGCAAGCCUCAGACGAUCACCGCAGCGCGAAAAAAACUCGAGCCCUAGGUGGCGCUCCAUUGCGGUUCCGGUGAAGCUCCAUUGCAGCCGCGACAGAGCUCCAACGACUCCGGCAGCGCUCCAUUGCAGCUCCGGUGAAGCUCCAUUGCAGCGUCGGCGAGCUCCAACGACCCCGGCGGUGCUCCAUUGCAGCCCCGACACGCUCCAUUGCAGCGACGACAGAGCUCCAACGACCCCGGCGGUGCUCCAUUGCAGCCCUCGGCACGCUCCAUUGAAGCUCCGGCGAAGCUCCAUUGCAACCUUCCCGGAGCUCCAACGGCCCCGCGACGCUUCACUGCAGAUCCGGCGGCACCCGACGAUGCUUCAUUGCAACCUCAUCAGAGCUCCAACAACACCCGUGGCUCUAUUGCAACUCUGACGAAGCUCCAUUGCAGCCUGACGUAGCUCCAACGCAGUACGACGGUUCCCGGCGAUGUUUCGUUGCAGCACCGACGGGUCCCCGGCGAUGCUCCAUUGGAGCACCACGCAGCCCCGGGUGGCAGCACGGGAGUUGCUGGAAAAAACCGGCGAGCCACCGCGUCGCUCGCUUGAAGCAUGGACAGAGCGUCGUCAGCCCCCUAUUGCGACACCGCCACGACCCCCGGGUCCGGCCGGCUGCACACUCAGGCGAUGUGAUGUUGCGUUGUAGCACCGUCGCCAGCGAGCAGAGCCACGGAUGCUGCGUUCCAGCGCCGUCGCCAACCUUGCCCCCAAUCUCCGCCAUGGAUGUUGUGUCGUGAUGCAGCGUCUCGGCGUCCAAAUCUUCCCCCAACGCCGGCCAUCUUGCAGCAAUAGUGGCACCAGGACACACGGUGGUUGGAGGGAUCGCAGCCCACCUCCGGCAUGAGGCCCGGCCCCCCGGCGCGUCGCCGGUCGUCGUCGUGGAGCAGCUCGCAGCGUCUCACGUCACCGGGUCACAGCACAGCCCCCGUGUCCCAUUAUGAAGCGGUGGCUAUUGGUCAGCGGUGAUGACCGAGGGCAGCGACUAGGAGGGGAAGGGUGAAGGAGGAGCAGGAAAGUGGCGCGCGUGAAUCUGCUCUGUAGCGCGAGAUUCGGCCAUGGAGACUAGUGGAGCUAGCAAGCAGGCGCGGAGAAGAUGGC